UCUGAAGCAAUCAAUUCAUUAUUCGGAAGGAAAUGCUAUACUGCAUUGCUACAGUUCAAAAUCACAAAUUUUAAAGUUUUGUGGAUUAAUCAACGUAAAUUGCACUAAUCAAUUAACAUAUUGUGUCAAGAUUAAAGGAUUAUAAGAAUACAGCGGAACCCGUUUGAUCCCAGUGGAAGUGUUUUUACAGAUUAUUCGAAUACGCGUACACAAAUCAAAUAUAUAAGUUAAUGUUCUAUUACAUGUGUAACAAAAGUGGUACUUUCCUUUAUUAUUUUGUGAAAAUAAAAAACUAAACUUAUUUUCACCUGUCCGAUAACGGGAAAGUUUUUACCUUAGAACUACUUGCGCAUGCGUUAAUGCUAUUUUUGCAGACAGAAAAGUGAAACACUGGCCAAAACAUGGCGAAGCCAUGUCGCUUCGUAGGAUUUAUAUUUCGAGGCCUUGUGUAUUAUUUGUGGUUUAUAUCAUCUUAUAUUUCUUGUGAAAAAGGUA
rnacentral:lncRNA from 1 species